CACACCGCUGGACCGGCGGACCGCUGAGAAAAUAAUUUCAUUUCUAUUCUGUUCUUUGCAGUUCUUUUGUUCUUUGUUUCAUGUUUCUUCAUACUCAUCAUACCAUGUUUACUCCGAUCAGUGUUUACAAAUGGUCUGUAACAAGUGCUUACUACAUUGUACUUGAGUAUUAUACCAGUGCACAGUUAAACUUAAUGGCUAGGUAUAAUAUUUCCCAACAACUCCCAAAUGAAAAACAAUUUGUGUGAAAUUCGAUUAGAUGUUCAGUGUUGAACAUCUAUUGAACUAUUUUCCAUGCAAAGGAAACAAAUUUUCUUUCUUCUGAGAGGAAGAUGCUGCCUCUCAUGUUGAUGCAAGAUAUUUGAAGCAGUAUAUUAUAAUGUUGAGGUUAUUCUGGACUCUGGUAUUGAAAUCUAACAGACUGUCCUCUAGCGGAAAUUGCAUUGUGUGAACCUGAUGGUCCUGAUGGUAGCAGUAUGAGUAGAUAACAAAAAAGUAACGGAAUUCUAUGGAUCUGCUCAAGGAAUGGAUUGCAAUUCAUUUUGCUACAAGGAACUGAAGAAGGCAGUUUAACUUAUGGAUUAUUCAGCAAGGAAGUAGAAAAAUCCGUUUGGCAGUGGUGAAGGAUCUUGUUUGCAGUUGCAAACCCACACAUGGAGAAGUUCAAACAUUACACAUAGAGUUACCCACCUUUUGAAGAUGAGGAAUAAAUGAUUAGGAUCCUAAGCAUAAUAGAGCAUAAUGGUUGAAAUUGUUACAUGGAAAUAAUUGAUUACUGAAUUUCUUUGGAAAGAAAUUCAUUCAUCAUCUAAUCAGAUUCAUUACAACAAUUGAACCAAUGAAAAAGAGUCUCUAAUUUCUUAAAGUUUAGGAUCUAACGAUACCUAAGAGAAGAGAAUGCCCAGAAAAUUGAAGGAAUGAGGAUGAAUGGAGAAGAAGAACAUCAAAUUCCCUAACGAAUCUUGUCUCCUCAAGAAGAAUAUAGCCCCAACUUCAUGAAUGUAUUGUAAGUUACCAAAUGCGCACCAAUCAGAAUCGGCAAAUUUUCAAACAAUUUUCUCUGUACUUCCUCAUUUGAAAUGAUGACAAUUUAAUCUCCCCCUAUAGAUAGCGUUUACAAUAGAAAACAACUUUAUUAAACUGUAUCACAAUUUAGUCAAAAAUUAUCAAUACUUUUUUUAAAUGCAUAAUCUAAAAGAGUGAACUUGUUUCCCAUAUUUGCUGUGCUUUAUCUUUGUUUUCUCUUGCACAUGUAUGAUUUGGCCCACUUUAAUGCUUUUCCUCUUAUUCCAUGGGAUUGAAGUU